GACGAACGCUGGCGGCGUGCUUAACACAUGCAAGUCGAACGGAAAGGCCCUGCUUUUGUGGGGUGCUCGAGUGGCGAACGGGUGAGUAACACGCGAGUAACCUGCCCUUGACUUUGGGAUAACUUCAGGAAACUGGGGCUAAUACCGGAUAGGAGCUCCUGCUGCAUGGUGGGGGUUGGAAAGUUUCGGCGGUUGGGGAUGGACUCGCGGCUUAUCAGCUUGUUGGUGGGGUAGUGGCUUACCAAGGCUUUGACGGGUAGCCGGCCUGAGAGGGUGACCGGCCACAAUGGGACUGAGGUACGGCCCAGACUCCUACGGGAGGCAGCAGUGGGGAAUAUUGCACAAUGGGCGGAAGCCUGAUGCAGCAACGCCGCGUGCGGGAUGACGGCCUUCGGGUUGUAAACCGCUUUCGCCUGUGACGAAGCGUGAGUGACGGUAAUGGGUAAAGAAGCACCGGCUAACUACGUG
rnacentral:rRNA from 1 species